rnacentral:sRNA from 1 species
AUGUACCACUCAUGCACUUGGGUUGUGAGCGCGCCGUCCACACCCACCUGGCGACUAUUGCCUACGUUUUGCCAGCU